rnacentral:rRNA from 1 species
AUUGAACGCUGGCGGCAGGCUUAACACAUGCAAGUCGAGCGGGGAUUGGGUGCUUGCACCUAAUCUUAGCGGCGGACGGGUGAGUAAUGCUUAGGAAUCUGCCAUUUAGUGGGGGACAACAUUCCGAAAGGGAUGCUAAUACCGCAUACGCCCUACGGGGGAAAGCAGGGGAUCUUCGGACCUUGCGCUAAAUGAUGAGCCUAAGUCGGAUUAGCUAGUUGGUGGGGUAAAGGCCUACCAAGGUGACGAUCUGUAGCGGGUCUGAGAGGAUGAUCCGCCACACUGGGACUGAGACACGGCCCAGACUCCUACGGGAGGCAGCAGUGGGGAAUAUUGGACAAUGGGCGCAAGCCUGAUCCAGCCAUGCCGCGUGUGUGAAGAAGGCCUUUUGGUUGUAAAGCACUUUAAGCGAGGAGGAGGCUACUUGGAUUAAUACUCUAGGAUAGUGGACGUUACUCGCAGAAUAAGCACCGGCUAACUCUGUGCCAGCAGCCGCGGUAAUACAGAGGGUGCGAGCGUUAAUCGGAUUUACUGGGCGUAAAGCGUGCGUAGGCGGCUUUUUAAGUCGGAUGUGAAAUCCCUGAGCUUAACUUAGGAAUUGCAUUCGAUACUGGGAAGCUAGAGUAUGGGAGAGGAUGGUAGAAUCCCAGGUGUAGCGGUGAAAUGCGUAGAGAUCUGGAGGAAUACCGAUGGCGAAGGCAGCCAUCUGGCCUAAUACUGACGCUGAGGUACGAAAGCAUGGGGAGCAAACAGGAUUAGAUACCCUGGUAGUCCAUGCCGUAAACGAUGUCUACUAGCCGUUGGGGCCUUUGAGGCUUUAGUGGCGCAGCUAACGCGAUAAGUAGACCGCCUGGGGGGUACGGUCGCAAGACUAAAACUCAAAUGAAUUGACGGGGGCCCGCACAAGCGGCGGAGCAUGUGGUUUAAUUCGAUGCAACGCGAAGAACCUUACCUGGUCUUGACAUAGUAAGAACUUUCCAGAGAUGGAUUGGUGC